rnacentral:pre_miRNA from 1 species
UAUUAAAAAUUUCAUCUAUUUCUAUAGUUAAAAUUGGCAUGAUUGUCAGAAUAACCAGACAAUUACGUGUGCUUUAUGUUGAUCUACAAUGACCAGCUUUUAACUGUAGAAAUAGGUUUUUUCCUU